rnacentral:misc_RNA from 1 species
AAGUCGUAACAAGGUUUCCGUAGGUGAACCUGCGGAAGGAUCAUUAACACGUAUACCCAAAACGUAUCAACCCCUUCGUGCUCUUUGAGUUCGUGAUGAACUUGUCCUUUUCUUUAAGGAACAAGCUCGUUCUGUGUGGAACAGGUCCUUGGACUUGGGAAGGCCGAAUGAGCGAGUUCACCAAAGGAAGGGGGCGGGUUUCGCGUUCUCUUUAUUAACCCCUUUUGUUACAGUUUUUCUGAUACCUAAGUACACUUGGUUCAAAGGCCUUGCGCCGGCGACCCACUUGAACUUAACCAAUUAUUGACAACUCUUAACAAUGGAUAUCUUGGUUCUC